UACAGAGGGUCUCGAGCGUUGUUCGGAUUCAUUGGGCGUAAAGGGUGCGUAGGUGGCUAGGUAAGUCGGAUGUGAAAUCCCGGGGCUCAACCCCGGAACUGCAUUCGAUACUGCCUGGCUAGAGUACUGGGAGAGGGAGAUUGGAAUUUACGGUGUAGCAGUGAAAUGCGUAGAUAUCGUAAGGAAGACCAGUGGCGAAGGCGGAUCUCUGGACAGUUACUGACACUGAGGCACGAAGGCCAGGGGAGCAAACGGGAGUUA
rnacentral:rRNA from 1 species